UAGACUUGUUUUAUUCAAAAGGCCCGAUGCAUUAGAGUACACAUAUCAUUAAAUAAAAUGCUAGUGUAAACCUUACAGAGGUAUCUAAAUUUCUACAGAGAUAUCCAAUUGAAAUACAAAAUCUGGAUUUUAAAUUUGUGUGGCCUUGGUUCUAUUUAGAGAAAGAGAAACAAAACCGUACAAACACGUCAUUGCUGCGCAGUUGAUUUUUCAUUUCAUGGUGAUAGUUCGAAGACGUCAUUUUCAGUAGCUCCUUUCCAUCUAGGGACAAAAAGACAUGUCUGCAGAAGAAAUUCAAGUGUUUAUAAAGGGAAUAUCAGCAAGUACGUCAACCAUACGCAUUGCAAAGAAUGCUACGAUAGCGGAAUUAUUUCAAGAAUAUUCAGAGCAUAUUGGAUUGACAGGCACUUUUGGAUUAGUCUAUGGAGGCAAAGAACUGAAAGAGACAACUGCAGAUGGAAAAGUAAUGCACCUCAAAGACUAUGGAAUAGAAGACGAAUCAAAUAUCGGUGCUGUUCUACGUCUUCCCGGAGGUUCUGGAGGUUUCGAAAAACGCUAUGGCAACAAAGUAAAACUCUCAAAAAGAGACGAUAUGCUGGGUAUUGACGAUCAAGCUGUAGAUAUGCCAUGUGGUCAUGCUAUUGGACCCAAUUCUAUGACAUGGUAUGUAAAAGAACAGGUGGGGCCGGAACAUAGUAAGUAUCAAAUAUGCUGCCCGGCUGUGGUAGAUGAUACAAUGAACGAAACCUGUAAACAACCGUGGGGUUUCAAAAAGGUAAAGAAGGUGGCACUAUUCACUAAAGAUGAAAGAACAGACGUUGAAGGGAAGAUAUCGAACAACUACAUACGUAAAGCUUUGAAAAGCAAAGUAUGCCCAAAGUGUGAGUCCUUCUGCGUGAGACAAAAUAAAGCCAAUCCUCGUGUAGUAUGUACAUACUGCACAUCUAAGACGGGGACAAAGUUUGAAUUUUGUUGGGCAUGUCUCCGUCAGUGGAAAACAUCCGGGACAAGCUCUUGCGGCAACGACAACUGCGAAGAUCAAUCACACAACUCUACCGGCACUUGUGCAAGCAGUUUAUUUCAGAAAGAAUUUUCUUUAAGGUCACAGGGAUUCAGGUCAGGUAAAUAAGGUGGAUGGUUCACAAGUUCCACCUUUUCAGAAGCCAGAAAAGACUUAACAACCUCGCACUUGCAAGAGGAGGCGUUGUCGUGUAUAAGAUGGGCUCCUAACUAUACUUUGCUUGGAUGUUUCUUAUCGGAAAACUCACUUGCAAGAGGAGGCGUUGUCGUGUAUAAGAUGGGCUCCUAACUAUACUUUGCUUGGAUGUUACUUAUCGGAAAACUCUUUGACUUUCUUCAGUACAGAGUUCUUGUAAAAUCGAUCAGUGACUGUAUGACCAGAUGGACAAGGUACUUGAAUGACUGGCCCACUAUAUUUGAAGAAUAUUGCGUACAACAUCUUUUUCGAACUUACGGUUCUCUUGGCAAUAAAGAAUUUCAGGGACAUGAUUGGAAGAUGGCGAGACAAUACAGGCCAGUUUUUUAUGGAGUUGCUUGUAUGCUACGGUCCAAACUUUAUGUAACUUCUCAAACAAGAUUUUCGCUGACUACAUAUCAAAUAUUUAAAGUUUAAUACACACAAGGCACAUAAACGCUUUACUUUCUAUCAACAUUUUAUUAUUUUAGGAUACUGUUUCCAAGUUUUCAAACUUCUCUAUGUACAAUGAUAUUCUUUCACAUUAAGCAGAAAAUAUUGUACUGCCAUUUUGGAACAAUUAAUUUCGUGGUUAGAAAUUUCGUUACGGCUACUUCGCUGGGAUAUGAAUUGUUGGAAUUUUAAUUUUGAAUAUAAAAUGAACGGGAUUUAAUUUCCUGGAUUCAUUCAACCACGAAAAUUAGUUCCCAAAGAAUAUCAAUAAUUUCACAGUUGUGUUUUAUGUAUAUAAUUCUAUUAUUUCAUUAUUUUUAUGUUUCUGUGAAAUGAAUGACUAUAUUUCAUUGCAUCAUCUUUUCUCAUCGCUUGCAAAAAUGAGAAAAAAGUAUAAAAAGUUUAAAAAAAAAAAGUAAAAAGACAUAAAACAUUAAAAAAAAUAUUGUAUAUAUAAUGAAAGCUUUAUAUCAUGUUUGCUGAUGUUUCUGUUGUUGUAUAUGCAUUGAUUUAUUGUUCUUGAAUGUAAGCUUCUUUGUAUUAUGGGUUUUGUACAUAUUGUGCAGGAGUGUCCGAUUUAAUGUCAGGCUGAUUAACUCAUACAUUUAGAUAGUGAUAAAUAUGUAGACAAAUCAUGAAAGUCUUGGUGUUAGGUGAUAUAUAGUAUAAGUAGAUAUUUCUGUGUUUGAUAUGCUUGCUUGUUGAACAGAUUUCCCUAAUAUGGUUACUAUGUUGUAUUGAACUUCAAAAUACAAUUUAUAAAAAAUAUCAUAAACAUAUAGGAGAGACGUUUCAAUAUGAAAUUUGAUAAUACAUAACAUUUGUUUAUGUUUAGUUAAAGUUUAAGGCAGUUCUGCACGUUCAAAUUUUUUUCUACAAUUUAGAAUUUGAUUAAACUCUGAUUUUUUAAAACUUCAGAAUAUACCCAGCAAAUAAAAAUAAUAGGCACGUUUGCUUGAUUUU
rnacentral:misc_RNA from 1 species